UGCCGACUUUUGAGUAUUGUUCUGAGAUUAGAUUUAAUUGUUCAAGUUCUCGUUUCCGUAAGAAGAAGGCUAAAAGUAUAGAAAAGGCCAAAAAAAGAAAAAAAAAGAAAAAGCGGCAAGUAAUAGCAAAAGAAGGAAUAUUGCCAAAUAAAAAGAAGACAGAGAAAAGAAGAGGAGGAGGAAGAAAAGAAAGAUACACUCGUUCGUACGCCGCUUGAGGCUCCAAAGUUUAUCCUCCGUCAUGAUGCACUGGAUACAACCCACAUCGAGGAGCCGUCGUCCAUAUUUCCUCAACUCUUCCCCCUCGGUUUCUUUUCGCAUCAAAACUUUGACCUGCCCUGUUCAAGUCCACACGUCAUCCCUGCAAGCCAUCAACCCCAAAAAAAAAAAAAAAAGUCAAACCCUGUGCUGAGUCAAAUCUUCCAAACAUUUUUUAGUACAUCAUUUACGAUUAAUUUGACAGAUGCAUGUUUUUAUCAGUAUUAGGACGUAGCUGCAUAUACACGGAAGCGGGGCGGGACGGUAAUCAGAAGGAGAGCUGUUCACGAUUAAGAUUUGGCUAAAAAAAUUUGUACGGUUCAGAUUUCAUCUUGUAUUUCAAUUUUAACAACAUGUGUGAGACUCAUAAAAUUUUGUUCUAAAAUUACACGUUGUUAAAAGUAAGUUACACCAUGUGCAAACAAAGUUACGCGCUGUGCAAAAUGCACAUAACUGCCUAGAACGAUUACACAUGCCCGUGGUCUGCAUAUACACAUACUCGUAAUUAAUUAUAACAAUACUAUAUGGUAAUUAAUUUUAUCACAUCCAUCCGGUGACGUAAUUGUUUGUCAAUCCUAAUCUAUUCACAGCAGUUGGUGUUGGCCUUCUAUUUUCAACAUGCAUGCUGCCAACUUGGAAUUAAAUGAUUUUGUAAAACCAUGCAACAUGAAAAUUGCCUUAGCAUCAUGCAUGGCGACAUCAUAAACUUCUUCCCGCUCCAAAUUAAGAAAAUAAAUUUGUGCCCAACCGUCCCAAAUGAUUUUGGGAUGUGAUUGCACCGGAUCACUAGUUUGAGCCUUCCAUUCUCAUCUAACACUGAUUGAAAAAUUACAUUAUUAUUUAGCCCAAGCCCAGGUGAUCUCAUCACGAAUUGGUAAAGCUAUAUGAGGAAGGUUCAACUGAUGACAAAGAAUAAGAAACUCAUCCGUAUUUGAUUAAAAAAUUAGGAAACCAAAUUAAUGUCUCAUUAAUUGCAAAAACCUUGUGGACCCUUGUCGAUAGCUAAAUUAGCUAUUAACGAAAGAGGACAUAGUCUGGAUCCUUAGAAUGGUAAUGGUAAUGACCCUUCAAUGACGAUGGGUUUUUGUGAAAACCCCCUCAAAACUGAAGCUCCAUGAGAUGAUGCCCUUCUGCUAAGUCAGGCGAUCGUUUAGAGUCAGGAUUGGAGGGGUUAUUCAAAGGCAAGCCUUUGAGCAUCCAAAAUUGAUGGCAAAAUUUAAUAAAUAGACCUCCAGCUUCUUUUUCUGUUUUCUUUUCUUUUUCUUUUUUUUUCUAUUUUUCUUUACCUUUUUAAUUCCUUCCUUCCCAUCUCCUGCUCUCUUGUAGUGCCAAU
rnacentral:lncRNA from 1 species